CUGGUCUUCUAAGGUGUGUUGAAAUACAUGCAAGGAGAAGCCCUGUGCUCUAAAAAAAGACUCACGGAGCAACUUUCAGCACACAAGUUCAAUUCUGGAAGAAAUAGAUGGAUCAAGAACAUUUUGAGGAUUUUGUGAUUCUUUCUUUCCUUCAACCAUUCACGCUAUGGACAGAAAGAAGCCAGAGCCAGGAGGGAAAGAGCCAAGAGUGGGCUAUGAAUGGAUCCUUGUAAGGGACCUCAGGACCCAGGAAGAAAGCAGAGGGGCUGAAGAGAGGAACUUUACACAAGACAGAGCUCUGUCCUGGAAGUCCUGUAAUCUUGUUCAGCUAAAACUCCUUACUUUAUUGUCAUGCAAAGUAUCAGCUUCCUCAGUGCAAUUUAAUCAGAUACGAAACUAAUGGAAGAAUCUGUCCCUAUAUUUCAUUCUACAGGACGAGUGCAUAUUAUCCUCAGGGCGCUGUGUAGUACUAACCAAUUGAAAAAGAGAAAAUCUCUUGUGAAUGUACUGUUCACAUAAGAUCUGGUGAUAGUUGUGAGUCCACAAUAUUUGUUUUACAUCAGUUACCAAAUAUUGCAUUUUGAUUAAAGCAUCUUCCAUACCAAUAAGUAUAUAUGAAUAUAUGUUAUUUCAUUACAAUAAUCUUGCAGUUGUGUCUUUUAAUUAAAUUUCAAACUUAAGAACUGGCAGCUCCAGUGAUUGUUGCUUAUCAAGUUUGAUAAAGAGAGAAAGAAACCCCACAGAAAGAAACCCCAGAAGCCCCACGGUAUUUCUUUCUGAGACUACAAGGUACGUAAUGAAGCAGACCCCUAGAAGUAGAAAUACAUGUCUUCGAAUAAAACUGUGAACUCAAAAUUUUUUUUUUGCUGUGGCCAGCAGUUAUCAGAACUUCCUGCCAUGCUAGCAAAUAUUAGUCUGAUCUUCUGCCGCAGCAGGAGGAAAUUUCUCUGCUGGUUGUGCUGAAGAAAAUGGGCAGAACAUCAUGUUUUUAUUCCCUAUUCAGGCUGCAAGGCAGGAGGAAAUUUGGAGGACGCUGGGCUUCCUCCAAAAGAACUCAAUCUUCUAGCAUCGUUGUCAUCAGUGUUAACAUAUACAAUUUUGAGGGGAAAAAAGAGAGAGAACGAGAGCACACCCUAGUCUUUUCUCUUUAAGAGAGAAUGGGAUCAAAGAAAUCCAGACACAGCAAAAAAGGACAUGACUCAGAUUCAUUACCACUAGGUCCUUGAAGUCCAUUCAUCCACUGGGUCUUUCUUACACUCGACCCUAACAGUUACACGGUUCACCCUUUAUUUCAGUGGUCAGAAAAGAUGGGAAUUAUUAAAGCCUAAAAUUUUCUAUGAUCUUUUGUUUGACAAAUCCUUUCUGACCACUGCAAAACCAGACUAGCAAUACAAUCAUGCUGUAACCUAUAGUAACCACAGAUGCACUCAAGGACAACAUGGAUUUUUGAAGACAAGAGGACUAAAACUUAUAAUGUCUUUUCAUUUUCAAAACACGAAAAAUACUCUAAGUAGGCAACGUACAAAGUAUCAUAUAACAUACAAGACAAAUGCUCUGCAGCCCAUUUUCACCACAGAAAUAAAAGGAAUGCCAACACCAGUAAUGAAAAACACUUAUAGAACAGUAAGUUGCCUGGAAACAGAUAAACGUAUUUAAACUUUCAUAUUUUCUUGAUGAAUCUACAGAGAGUAAUGAGAGAAAAGAAACAUAACUUUCACAUAUGUCUAUGUAUUAAGUUUACAUGGCAAGGUUUUGGUAACAGGGGGGCUACAGGAGUGGCUUCUGUGAGAAGACACCAGGAGCUGCCCCCAUGUUGAGCAGAGCCCGUUACAGACAGCUCCAGUACAGACCCAUUACUGGGCAAAUUUCGUAGCACCUCUGUGAUAACAUAUUCAAGAAAGGGUAAAAAUGCUGUCAGAGAGAGGAGUGAGAAAAAAUGCAAAAGAAGCAACCCUGCUGACACCAAGGUCAUUGAAGGAGGAUGAGGAGGUGCUCCAGGUGCUGGAGCAGAGAUUCCCCUGCAGCCUGAGGUGAAGAACAUGGUGAGGCAGGUUGUUCUCCUGCAGCUGAUGGAUGACCACAGUGAGGCAGAUAUCCACUUGCAGCCCACAGACGACUACAUGCCAGAGCAGUAGGAAGCUGCAGCUCAUGGAGAUACUACACUGGAACAGGCUCCUGGCAGGAGCUGCAGUCUGUGGAGAGGAGCAAACCUUCUGGCAGGACUGGUGACCCUGCAGGGGACCUACACUGGGGCAUUUUGUUCCUGAAGGACUGCACCACAUGGGGAGGACCCACACAAGAGCAGUUUGUGAAGAACUGCAGCCCAUGGGAAGGACCUACACUGCAGCAGCUCAUGAAGGACUGUCUACUGUGGGAGGGACCCCAUGGCAGUGACAGAAAUGAAGUGUUAUGAGCUGACCAAAAUCUGCCAUCUUCAUCCACCUGCGGCCCUUGGGGCAGUGGAGGAGGAGAUAGAAGAGUCAGGAGCAAAGGAAUGAAGUUGAGCCUGGAAAGAA